GUGGAUUGACAUUGACUGAGACUGCUGGAGAUCUUGCAAUAGCAGCUGCAAUUUGCAGCAGUUUCCUGGAGUACCCUAUUCCAAAGGGCAUUGCUUUCAUUGGUGAAAUUGGUCUUAGUGGAGAGCUUCGCACGGUUCCUAGAAUCGACAAAAGAGUACACGCAUUGGCAAAGUUGGGUUACAAAACCUGUGUAGUACCAAAGCAAGCAGUAAAAGCUUUAGGAACUGAAGGUCUAGAAAAUAUUAAAAUAGUAGGAUGCAAGAAUCUGAAGGAGUUUAUUAAUGUAGUAUUCAGUAGAUAAAUACAAUUAAAACAAGCUGCUAAAAUUGUGCAGAUCUCUUUGUUUUGUAAGAUGUACAAUUUGACACUUUCAGAAGUUUGUAAAUAUAGAUAUACUAUAGUUCUGUUUGUCUUGUGUCAAUUAUGUAAUUUGUUGUUACAAGCAUUAAAUUUGCUGAAGUAA